GGGAGGCAAAACUGGGAGUCAAGUGAGAUGCCACUCAGGACAUGGAGUGUCCCAUCCAUAUGCAAUGUGUCUGGUGAUCCUAUGCAGAAUACUAGGGACUUUUCUCCAUGUCCUGGAUAAAAGAGAAAGGAGAGCAAGGCAAGGGUACUGAACAGGAGCAGAGUGCUCAGGGGGAGCAGAGGAGUACUGAGAGGCAUCAUCUGCUCACUGGCAGCACUGCAAUGAAAGAGCGUGUGAGGAAAACCAACUCUUCAGUCAUAUUUCCUAAUCUGGAGGGACAGCUUUAGAAGAACCCUUGAGAAGUUGCAAAGCCAAACAUUUGAGGUUUCAGCAAUGGUUUGGUAGCACAAGGAUGGCAGUUCUCAGCCAGACAAAGUUGACCCUCGCACAACUCCAAGCAUCAUCAGUGUACUUUGAAAGUGAAACUGCAGAAGGGCUCAUCCUGUAAGCACUGCUUAUCCAUUCAGGUUAUAUCCAUUAUUAACCUGCAGCUUAUGUCUUUUUAGCUCAAAGCUAGAAUUAACAUGUCCAAGGAGUCUUCAUGGAAUUGCUUUCAU